UAGAUGGAGGCAAAGACCCAUAUUACCCAUGCGCGCUCCCGCGCCACCUUUGACGCAAAGAUGUUGGAUGGUAUGAUGAUGCUGAUGGAUGGCCUUACAAAGAUUUGAACCCCUAACCUGGCCUACAAACACAUCAACACAGAAGACUUCUGCAGCGGCAGCCCUUCACAGAUGCACGCCACAAAAUGCACAACGCCCACAAACAACACUUCACUUUCACAACUCUGAGAGCACACAUGAAGCCCUCUUGUGGUCACUCUGGAGAACAGCACAUGAAAGUCUCGUCCUGAAUUCUUGAUCCACAUGAAGACUCAAGGAGUUUCCCUGAUCUCUCCUGCUCGAGAUUAUUCCCCUGAAACUGAUGUGUGACGGUGAUUCAUACAGAGAACUUGAAAAUUAUAAAUGCCUCUGAUAAAUGAAACCAUCUUGGCUUUUGUGGAGUCCCGAAGCCGCUAUUUGGGCGAGUUUUCUGAGAAGCAGUUACAAUGUGAUAGUGACAAGAAAUGGCUGUAACGAUAACAAGAAGUUAUUUGAAUCAAUAUCUGACUGUGGUGUCAAAUAAUAAUUCUGAAUCAGUUCAAUUCAAAUGAAUUCACCUUCCACUUUUAAAAACAGAAAUAUGCGGUCGCAAGCUUUAGAAAACAUUCACAGAUUUUCUCUGCGAUUAUGUAAAUGUUGGCCUAGUUAUCAAGUCCGAGGUGUCAGUGUUUUUGGAAAUUUACAGAUGUAUGUUUCCAUGAUGUGAGGUUAAACAUAGCACGCUGUAGCAGCCACCUUUCCAUUCAUAUGACAAUAAUACCGCAACAAACACAAAUGCACAAACAUAUUUGUACAAACACCCUUGAGCUAGCGCUGUAGCAACAGGUGAUGCUUGCCAGGUCCUUUCUGAAAGCUUGUGCAGGUGAAAACAGAUUGUUGGAACACAUUUCUCUCAGUGUUGUUGUCUGUGUGUCUCAGACUUUGAUAUAACA